rnacentral:rRNA from 1 species
GACGAACGCUGGCGGCGUGCUUAACACAUGCAAGUCGAACGGAAAGGCCCUGCUUGCUGGGUGCUCGAGUGGCGAACGGGUGAGUAACACGUGGGUGAUCUGCCCCUUACUUUGGGAUAAGCCUGGGAAACUGGGUCUAAUACUGGAUAGGACCAUGCUGAAGGUGGUGUGGUGGAAAGAUUAGUUUCGGUAAGGGCUGAGCUCGCGGCCUAUCAGCUUGUUGGUGGGGUAGUGGCCUACCAAGGCGUCGCCGGGUAGCCGGCCUGAGAGGGUGGACGGCCACAUUGGGACUGAGAUACGGCCCAGACUCCGGCGGGAGGCAGCAGUGGGGAAUAUUGCACAAUAGGAGCAAGCCUGAUGCAGCGACGCCGCGUGGGGGAUGACGGCCUUCGGGUUGUAAACUCCUUUCAGCCAUGACGAAGCCCUGGUGGUGACGGUAGUGGAAGAAGAAGCACCGGCUAACUACGUG